UAAUCGUUGAGAGGAACUUCUGGUCUUCUUUCCUUUUUUGGGGGACAAAGGAUAGCUUUGCCGCUCUUGUCCUUAGGGGGCACAAUCCUACAGGGCUUGGCAGGCCUGUGAGGGGCUCAGCAGCCUGCUCACCACCCCUCAGAGGGCAGAAAUCUCAGCCAUGCCACGUCCUGCUGCAGGCCGAGCCAGCCUGGCCACACAGGGCCUGCCCGGCCUGGCCAGUUACCAUUCCAAGCCUGGAAGCCAAAAGACCUUUCCUGGCCUUUGUUGGUUUUUAAAUGUGCCUUCAUGGGGGCGUGUUCAACUCUUUUAAGUGGUUGAACCAGGUGUCAAUCUUCAAAACUAGCCAGCUGAUUGGCUCUGCCAGGCCUCUUCAGGGAACCGCCCCUGCGGCCUGUGGACUGCGCCCAACUGAAAAUCAGACUUCGUUAAACCGCGACGCUGGAAAGAGAGUAAAGGCCUUCCUGUGAGUCUAAGAGGCCAGAACUUGUGGAAAGUUAACUUGAAGUUUCCUAAGUACAGGAGAGACCGUGAUGGUGCCUUGAUGGUGCAGGAGGGAGACAAGAAUCUCAUUGCUGGGGGAAUGGGGGCUUUCCCUAGGAAAGGAAGGAGAUUCUAUUCCCACAGUGGUAUGGAGAUUUCCCAUAAUUCCAGGCUUUCAGCAGUUCCAAAAGCAAUUUUAUCUCCCUCUACCCAGUUUCACUGGUCAUUUAUUUGGUUUGAAUUGGCAACUUGGCCUCAGGUCUGUGGUCUGUGCUCAGGGAAAGGUCUUUGGAAGAGCUCUGAGGAAGGUCAUGGGAAUGAAUCCUCUUAGGUCAUUGAUUUCCUAUAGACCAAGUCAUAGUGUAAUACCCCAGGUAUUGAAGGGUAGAACAAACCUAAGAAUGUUUUAAGGAGAAAGGUGGAGGAAAUGUUAUCUUUUGUGGCUGGAAGCAGCCUGUCUGCAGCUUUGGUGAACCACAGAGCUCUGCAACACAGGCUCCUGCCCCACCUGGGGUCCUGCCUGUCCCCAUUGUCUUGGUGUUCCCUCUGCAGCCCUGUGACGACCCAGAAGGGGCAGCAGCCAUGAAGAUCCUGUUCCUGCUCUUCCCCCUGAUCCUUCUGUUGGUCCAGAGUGCUGCAGGGAUGAUCCCUGCAAGGGCUGGACAAGGACUUUUCAUCAGAGGUCGCACAAAUCGCGGCACAGCCAGGACAGGGAGUAACCUUCAAUGCAGAGAGAGAGGAGGAAUCUGUUCAUCUGUAAGAUGCCGCCCCCCUCUAAGAACUAUUGGAAGAUGUACAAACAUAGACUUUUGCUGCAGAAGUUUUAUGGGUUGAAGCCCUGAAAUUCCAAAGCAGGACAUCACCCAUUUGCUUCUGGCUGCUGGACCCAUGUGCUGAUGUCCCCAUGUGCUGAUGUGCCCAUGUGCUGAUGUCCCCUGCCCUCGCUGGCUGUGCCGUGCCCAGCUGGGCUGACAGCAGCAGUGGCAGCUGCUCCUGCUGGCUGCUGCUGGGCUGGAGCCCUGUGGUGUCAGGCCCGGUGUCUUUGGGGCAGGGGCUGCUUUUCCCGGCUUGAAUAAAGAGCAGCACUUUGGCAUUGCAGGGCUGGGCCGUGUGUGCGUGUGCUGCUGCUGCUGCAGGGCUGCUGUGCCUGCUGGCCCUGGGGCUGCCACUGCCUUGGUGGCAGCACAAGGCCCUGGCCGUGGUGCUGGGGCUGAGCAGCGCCUGUGUCCCUGGGGAUGCUCCUGCCUGGCCCUGCUUUGGGGACGCUGAGCCUGGCAGUGCCUGCUGGGCCAGGCUGGCUGGGCUGCCUGUGGUGGGGCUGCCCUGCAGAUGCUCCCUCUGGGGGAACUGGGAUCCCUGUGCUGGUCCUGCCAGUCCCCCAUGUCCCUUGUCCCUGUCAGCCAUGGCCUCACGUGCAGAGCUGUGCUGGAGGAUGUGUCCCUUGAGUGGCCUUUGCUAUGGUGACCCACAGGAGCUGUCCCUGAUGCUCCUCCUUGUCCUGUUCCAGCACCUCAGCCCUCCCUGCUGUUUCUGUGCUGCUCCACACCUCAUCCCAUCAGACCGGAGUGGGAGGACGCUGUUCACAUCUUGGGUUGGGUGACCCUUGAAAAGAUGCCAUUGCUGUGGGAAUGAACACAUUUGUUUGGCCAUGGGAGUAUGCAGAAUGUCCUGGCCUCUCUGCCCAUCUCAGGCAGUCUGGAGUGACAAUUCUCUGUACCUUGAAAGGCAGGGGCUUCUCCCUGUGUGUGGAGCAGACCUCGGGCACUGGCAUUUGAGUGGUUUACUACAUGUGUGUGUGUCAGUGUACUUGUGGGUAUAAGAGUAACUGGGGACCCUGCCUGGCUUAGGGACAGCAUUAUCCCCCAGGAAUCAGUGAGUCAUAGAAUUGGUGAUGUUGGGAAAACCCUUUAAGCUCAUUGAGUGCAACCAUUGCCCCAGCACUGCCAAGGCCACCACUAAACCAAGUCCCCAAAUGCCACAUCCAGAUGGCUUUUAAAUACUCCAGAGGUAGUAAUUCCACUACGGCCCUGGGCAUCCUGUCCCAACACUACUGAUUAUGCAAAGAAACUGUUCCUAAUACCCAACUGAAUCCUUCCCUGGUUCUACUUUUGGCCAUUUCCUCUGCUCAAUUCACACUUGUGAGAAGAGACCGACACCAAAAAUUUUUUUUGUCAAUCCUCUCUAGAGCUGCAAAGUUUGGUGAGGGAUGUUCAUAUGAACCCUGCCUGCUGUGGCCCUUCCUUCCCCUGUGCUAAACCUGAAAUUUUAUUUUGUCCCUCUUCUUUACAAACUAUGCAGACAAGGUUGCUGAAGUGAAAUGAGAGCUAAGUCUUUCCUCUCACUGUACAAAGCAGAGCAAGAUUGCUAUAUUCAGUCAGAUCAUCCACAUCCCACUCUGAGUAUUUAUAACAUCAGGGAAAUGAAAGAAUGCAAAGAAGCAAACCAUUUCCUCAUUUCUGCUCUUCCCAGCAUGAAUCACUCUGCCUUGUCCAUGCCAGCCCUCUCCUGCCCAGCCCGGUGCUGCUGUGCCGCGGGUGUCACAAGAGGUGUUGCAUGGGGACAACGGUGACAUUGAUUGCAACAGCCCCACCAGGCCCCUCAGCCUCUGCCCCUACAGCAGCAGGGAGGGAGCAGGGCCAGCCCCAGCACCCCCACAGCCAUGGGGCACUCCCGGGUUGGCCCAGGCCACUUGUGCCAGCAGCAACUGGGGCCUGUCCCACCCACCAGCACUGCUAUAAACCCAGCCUGUUUGGGGCACUGCAGCAUUGCC